rnacentral:lncRNA from 10 species
AAACCUCACCCAGCUCCCAUGCAACCUGCAGCCCAGAAGGCUGGUCUCACUCCCAGAAGCACUGAGUUUAUUUCCAGGCAGCCCAUGAGCAGUGCUGAGAACUUGCCUUAGGCUACAAGCCUCUCAGCUGAGAAAACAAGCCGACUCACAGUUCUUUGGCUGUCCGUGGAGCCUGUAGCAGCAAUUCACCUUUUUCAAAGGGUCUGUGGAUCCUCUAGGCUUUCCUGGGAUAUUCUGAGGACCACACGAGUUCAAGUAUCUUGAUACUACUUUAUAAGAUGAAAUAUUCUAUAUAAAUAUAGUGAAUUGGAUAACAAUUAUCAAGAAGACAAGAACUAGCAAGUGUUGGCAAGUAUGUGGAGAAAAUAAAACCCUUGUACACUGUUGGUAGAGCUGUAAAUUGGUACAGCCAUUAUGGAAAAUAGUAUGAAAUUCUUCAAGAAAUUAAAAAUAGAACUGCCAUUUGAUUCAGCGAUUCCUUCAUGAGUAUAAACCUCAGGGAAAUAAAAUCAAUUCCUCGCAAGGGAUCUGCAGUCCCAUGUUCAUUUCAGCAUUAUUCACAAUAGCCAAGAUAUGCAAACAACCUAAAUGCCUGCCGGUGAAUGAAUCAGUAAAGAAAUUGUGGUAUAUGUAUACAAUGGAAUGUUAUUCAUCCUUAAAAAAAAGAAAAUUCUGCCAUUUUUGACAAAAUGGAUGAACCUGGAGGAUAUUAUGGUAAGUGAAAUAAGCCAGAUACAGAACAAAAAUAUCGCAUGAGUUCACUUUUAUGUGGAAUUUCAAAAAGCCUAAUACAUAGAAACAGAG